GGAUGUGGGGUGAUCAGGCUGCAACAUCUGUCACCCCAAUGAUGGCCAGGUUGUUCUGGCUCAUCUGUCUGGCUAAGAGGAUAUCCCUUUAUUCCCUCACUGCUUC
rnacentral:snRNA from 1 species